GCUCUACAUUUACACAGCCCUGAGGUAUGACCUAGUCUUCUUCAAGCUGUUGUCCUGGAAUCAUGGGAGAGUGAAGAAUAAGAAAAACGUGUUGUAAUGAGAGUCUACCACGUUCCACUCAUUAUUCUAGGUGUCUGGGAUGUGGAAAGGAACAACAGAGAAGAAAUCUUCCAGGUUUCCCCACCAAUAGGGCGUGGAAGUAAUGACAUCUGAGUCCCAGAAACCAGGACUCCUUGGAGAAAUGGCUAUUCCCGAUCUAAAGCAGGAAAAGAACGAGAUGAGUCAAACAGCCAGAAAUGCAAGAAGUGCUCAGAGAAAGAGGCGCUCAUAGCAAAAAUUCCAGGGAAGGCAGUUUCCAGGGUCUCACUGAACAAACCCCGGAUGAUGUGGCGCUGUCAAACGAUCGUCAUGGUUACAAUUUGUAAUUGAAUAAAAUAAAAG
rnacentral:lncRNA from 1 species